GUCUCUUUGGCAGAACAUUUAUUAAAAUUGGAACAAUACAGAAAUUAGUCAUGGCCCUUACACAAAUAUGACACCCAAAUUUGUGAAGCAGUCCAUAUUUUU
rnacentral:snRNA from 1 species